CCUACGGGUGGCAGCAGUGGGGAAUAUUGGACAAUGGGGGGAACCCUGAUCCAGCCAUGCCGCGUGUGUGAAGAAGGCCCUCGGGUUGUAAAGCACUUUCAGUGAGGAAGAACGCCUGGUGGUUAAUACCCAUCAGGAAAGACAUCACUCACAGAAGAAGCACCGGCUAACUCCGUGCCAGCAGCCGCGGUAAUACGGAGGGUGCGAGCGUUAAUCGGAAUUACUGGGCGUAAAGCGCGCGUAGGUGGCUUGAUAAGCCGGUUGUUAAAGCCCCGGGCUCAACCUGGGAACGGCAUCCGGAACUGUCAAGCUAGAGUGCAGGAGAGGAAGGUAGAAUUCCCGGUGUAGCGGUGAAAUGCGUAGAGAUCGGGAGGAAUACCAGUGGCGAAGGCGGCCUUCUGGACUGACACUGACACUGAGGUGCGAAAGCGUGGGUAGCAAACAGGAUUAGAUACCCGGGUAGUC
rnacentral:rRNA from 1 species